rnacentral:lncRNA from 1 species
ACAUUCCCAAUGAAAUAGUGGGAAAGAUUGAACAAUGUUCCAGGGCACCAGGAAAGUUUUGUAUCUUGAGAGAUGAGGAACUCAUAGGAACGGUGAGUGGAGACAACACAGAAGAACCAAGAGUGCUGAUCUUUAUCACUGUCCCCUGAAAGAGGUGAGGCUGGGGAGACAGCAAUCUGGGAAGUGGGCAGAAGAUUUUAUUUUAUUCGCCCUCUUUUUUUUUUUGCAGGUAAGACAUGAAAAGCAGAUGAAAAGCCUGAGAAAAAACAUAGUUGGAGGAAGAGGUUGUUCCAAAGCUCUCACCAGAGAGUGUUGGUGGAGGUGUGUGUCUGUAUUUCUGUGUUUCAUGGUACUGUUGAGCUGGAGAGAAGCUGCUUAGAAUCCUGAUCUCUCUAAAAUGGAAGGGACUCUGCUAGAAUCAGUAAUCAUAGUGGAGCGCAUGCUUUUUAGCUGCUCUCCCUUUUGGGUUGGAAGGCUGUGUCACCCACGUUGGCAACAUUCCCUCAGGGUUUUAGUACGAUAGUUUAUAAGCCCCCAUUAGUGGGUUUUCUUCUAUGAUUGUCAAUUGACAUCAUUUAGUCAACUAGAUUUAAUUAGAUCUGAAAAAGAGUAUUUAUGAAGGUGGUAUGAAGAAGUCAGCACAAAUUAUUCCCCCCCCCCCCAAAGUCUGUCACCCACUCUCCCACCAGAAUGUAUAUAUAAAGUCCUGAGGAAAGCAGGCUCAGGUUUAGAGGGUCUAAGUGGCACUGGCACACACACAUAUCCCUAUAUAUAUAUAUAUAUUUGCUCCUGUUGAAAUUUUUUCUCCUCCUCAUUGGGUUGUCAUUAGAUUCUCCCUAAGCACGUUCCCUUGUAGUAUUUUGCUGAUCUUGAAUCUGUUUUGCUUCAGUGUGUAUAGUUUAUCCUUGGCUCCCAAUACAGCCCUGUCUAUUAGCUGUUACGGUUCAGGGAUACUGCGGGACUGAAGAGAAGUCAACAUUUUCUGACUCUUCAAAAUUCACAAGGUCCAGGUGGAAAGGAGUUUCUAUUGGGGACCCCCCAAAUUCUUUAUCUCUCUUAAAAAAAACCCUUACUUUCUGUCUCAGAAUCAAUAUUGCUCAUUGGUUCCAAGGUUGAAGAGGGUGAGGGCUAGGAAAUUUGGGUUAAGUGACUUACCCAGGUUCAGGGAGGUAAGAUUUUAACUCAGGACCUCCUACCUCUAGGCCUGGCUCUCCAUCCACUGAGCCACCUCACUGUGCCCCCUCUUCCCCCAUUCUCUCUUAAGGGCUUAUCAGGAGUUGCUUUCUUCUUUGCCAGACAUUUGAAUGCCCAGUUAGGAGUUAAUUUGCUGUUUUAUACAAAACUCACAUUGUGUGACCAGACAUACAUUAGUUGAACGC